CACAGCGGAAGUGAGGGGGAAAAAAGGUACGUAAUAGAAGGAGUGUGGCCUGUGAUUUAAUAACACAACCAGCCCUCGCCAUGCUCUGAAACCCACCUGAAGUUAUUAGCAACAUGUGUUUAUAUUUCUGAAAUUCCCAUGGCACUUGAAUCUUACUCAGGCGCAGAUUGGUUUGUUUUCUCAGCCCUCGUCUGUUCUGUGGUGUCCUCGUAGCUUUGUUGGCAAGUUCCCCAGACUUGUAUGCAGAAGUUGAGGUCAAAAAUGAACUGAGCGACCUGAGCUGAACUGAGAGACGUGAGUACACUUAAAGCUGUAGUAGAAAGUGGAAUUAAAUUCUGACAGCUGAAACAAACUGUUUACAACUGUUUACAGCUUCUGCAAAUACAAAUAAAC